rnacentral:rRNA from 1 species
ACGAACGCUGGCGGCGUGCUUAACACAUGCAAGUCGAGCGGUAAGGCCCUUUCGGGGGUACACGAGCGGCGAACGGGUGAGUAACACGUGGGUGACCUGCCCUUAGCUCUGGGAUAAGCCUGGGAAACUGGGUCUAAUACCGGAUAUGACUCCAUGACGCAUGUUGUGGGGUGGAAAGCCUUGUGCGGCUAGGGAUGGGCCUGCGGCCUAUCAGCUUGUUGGUGGGGUGAUGGCCACCAAGGCGACGACGGGUAGCCGGCCUGAGAGGGCGACCGGCCACACUGGGACUGAGACACGGCCCAGACUCCUACGGGAGGCAGAAGUGGGGAAUCUUGCGCAAUGGGCGAAAGCCUGACGCAGCGACGCCGCGUGGGGAUGACGGCCU